rnacentral:rRNA from 1 species
GAUGAACGCUGGCGGCGUGCCUAAUACAUGCAAGUCGAGCGAACAGACGAGGAGCUUGCUCCUCUGACGUUAGUGGCGGACGGGUGAGUAACACGUGGAUAACCUACCUAUAAGACUGGGAUAACUUCGGGAAACCGGAGCUAAUACCGGAUAAUAUAUUGAACCGCAUGGUUCAAUAGUGAAAGACGGUUUUGCUGCCACUUAUAGAUGGAUCCGCGCCGCAUUAGCUAGUUGGUAAGGUAACGGCUUACCAAGGCAACGAUGCGUAGCCGACCUGAGAGGGUGAUCGGCCACACUGGAACUGAGACACGGUCCAGACUCCUACGGGAGGCAGCAGUAGGGAAUCUUCCGCAAUGGGCGAAAGCCUGACGGAGCAACGCCGCGUGAGUGAUGAAGGUCUUCGGAUCGUAAAACUCUGUUAUUAGGGAAGAACAAAUGUGUAAGUAACUAUGCACGUCUUGACGGUACCUAAUCAGAAAGCCACGGCUAACUACGUG